rnacentral:rRNA from 1 species
CAAUACAGCCGUGGCGCACGGGUGAGUAACGCGUGGGAAUAUGCCCUUUAGUACGGAAUAACAGCGGGAAACUGCUGACAAUACCGUAUACGCCCUUCGGGGGAAAGAUUUAUCGCUAAAGGAUUAGCCCGCGUAAGAUUAGGUAGUUGGUAGGGUAAUGGCCUACCAAGCCUACGAUCUUUAGCUGGUCUGAGAGGACGACCAGCCACACUGGAACUGAGACACGGUCCAGACUCCUACGGGAGGCAGCAGUGGGGAAUAUUGGACAAUGGGGGAAACCCUGAUCCAGCCAUGCCGCGUGAGUGAUGAAGGCCUUAGGGUUGUAAAGCUCUUUUGUCAGGGAAGAUAAUGACGGUACCUGAAGAAUAAGCACCGGCUAACUUCGUGCCAGCAGCCGCGGUAAUACGAAGGGUGCUAGCGUUGUUCGGAAUUACUGGGCGUAAAGCGCGCGCAGGCGGUUAUGCAAGUUAGGAGUGAAAUGCCGGGGCUUAACCUCGGAACUGCUCUUAAUACUACAUAGCUGGAGUAUGGGAGAGGAUGGCGGAAUUGCUAAUGUAGAGGUGAAAUUCGUAGAUAUUAGCAGGAACACCGGUGGCGAAGGCGGCCAUCUGGCCCAUUACUGACGCUGAGGCGCGAAAGCGUGGGGAUCAAACAGGAUUAGAUACCCUGGUAGUCCACGCUGUAAACGAUGAGUGCUAGCCGUUGGGACCUCAGGUCUCAGUGGCGAAGCUAACGCAUUAAGCACUCCGCCUGGGGAGUACGGUCGCAAGAUUAAAACUCAAAGGAAUUGACGGGGACCCGCACAAGCGGUGGAGCAUGUGG